rnacentral:rRNA from 1 species
UACGUAGGCAGCAAGCGUUGUUCGGAAUUACUGGGCGUAAAGAGGACGUAGGUGGUUUGCCAAGUCCGAUGUGAAAUCUCCUGGCUUAACUGGGAGGGUGCGUUAGAAACUGGCAGGCUUGAAUGUGGGAGAGGAGAGCGGAAUUCCUGGUGUAGCGGUGAAAUGCGUAGAUAUCAGGAGGAACGCCUGUGGUGUAGACGGCUCUCUGGACCAUUAUUGACACUGAGGUACGAAAGCGUGGGUAGCAAACAGG